rnacentral:rRNA from 1 species
UACGUAGGGUGCGAGCGUUGUCCGGAAUUAUUGGGCGUAAAGAGCUUGUAGGCGGUUUGUCGCGUCUGCUGUGAAAAUCCGGGGCUCAACCCCGGACUUGCAGUGGGUACGGGCAGGCUAGAGUGUGGUAGGGGAGACUGGAAUUCCUGGUGUAGCGGUGGAAUGCGCAGAUAUCGGGAGGAACACCGAUGGCGAAGGCAGGUCUCUGGGCCACUACUGACGCUGAGAAGCGAAAGCAUGGGGAGCGAACAGG